rnacentral:rRNA from 1 species
GACGAACGCUGGCGGCGUGCUUAACACAUGCAAGUCGAACGGAAAGGCCCUGCUUUUGUGGGGUGCUCGAGUGGCGAACGGGUGAGUAACACGUGAGUAACCUGCCCUUGACUUUGGGAUAACUUCAGGAAACUGGGGCUAAUACCGGAUAGGAGCUCCUGCUGCAUGGUGGGGGUUGGAAAGUUUCGGCGGUUGGGGAUGGACUCGCGGCUUAUCAGCUUGUUGGUGGGGUAGUGGCUUACCAAGGCUUUGACGGGUAGCCGGCCUGAGAGGGUGACCGGCCACAUUGGGGCUGAGGUGAGGCCGGGACGCAUACGGGAGGCAGCAGGGGGAAAGAUUGCACAGUGGGGGGAACCGUAAGGCAGCACCCCCGUGGGGGGAAGGACGCCUGUGGGUUAGUAAUCCGUUUUCGCUUGUGAAGAAGUGGGAGUGAGGUUAGGGGGUAGAGAGCCACGGGCAAACUCCGUG